CCACAUGCCCCACGGCUCUGCAGUGACCUUUGUCAAGGUCAGGUUUGUGUUGCUAAAUCUGAUGGGCACUUUUCUUUUUCAUCUUUAUGUCUCAGCUGCAUUUCACACCCUGGACAUUGGACUUCCUUGAAGCAGUUUUUUUUUUUUUUUUUUUUUAAUCAUCUGUAUCUACCUUGGGUUGUGUUCUUCCAGAAGCAGACCCUGAGGAAAGAUUUGGCAGAGAGAAGAAGGAGCUGUACCAUUCAACAUCAAGGAAGAAUUGUUAAUUACAGAUCCCAACAGAAGACUCUUCAACAGGAAAGAAUGAUAAAUUAUAGGCCCCAGCAGAGAAAGAUGUGUACUGCAUCACCUACAAGAAAUUGAUCACCCCUGCAAUUCAGCCAAUGAGAAAUGGUCAUCAUCCUGAACUCUUGCUUCUCUCCAGUGGACUUUUGUUCAAAAUAACCCCUCCCAGCUUCUUCUUUCUUUUCUAUAAAAUAAAAUUCCUCUCCUUUGUUUGUUGGACUUGCCUGUGGUUUUGCCAUAGCUUCUAUAUAUCAAACUGCAAUUCUCUGCUAUUGUUGAAUAAACCUAUUUUUGCUAAUAA